UUUCAUCUUUGCUUCUCGGUAUCUUGCUUUUGAAUUAUGAAGAGGCUAUGAUGAUAAAUAAAAGUCAAUGAUGGAUUUGACCAAUCACCAUUUGGGCUUUUAAACGCAAGAUUGUUUCUCGAUGGUGUUGGCAAGUCACAGAUUCUUAUGCAUUAGUAUGAAGCAUAAAGGCUUUAUGAUCUCUUUCAAUGCUCGGUUUUCCAAUCUUAAAAGGAUGAUGGCGAGGCAGUUUGGAUGGCCUUCAUGGCAACCAUUGUAGCCAUGUCCAUCUCUUAGGAUGGGAUUUGGGCAAGAAGAGGGAAGACCUAUGGUCUGUUCUUGUGAUUGACAAAAGAUGAAUUUGAGCCUCCUAUUUCUUAUUUUGUAAAGGAUCUUUUGAUUAUUUUUACUAUUUAAAUGUUUAAAAUCAUUUCAUGCCUGAUCAAGGGUUACUAUACAUGUUUUCUACAUUUUUCUCUUUUCUUGGUUCAAUUAUUUUAAUAUGUACUCAUGGUAUAUUUGCUUAAGUGGUGUUAAUUUUUCUGAGAAUUGUUUUGAUGUAGACAUUAUAGAAAAUUUAUUUUUCAACCAAAAUGACAUUUUUAAAUAUUAACAAGUUUGGUGUGCUUUCAUAAUUUUGUUUCAAGUUUUUUUUUGUUCAUCUGAGAUUUGGAUCACUUUAAGCUUCUAUGAGAAGUUUACAUGUUAUCUUCAACAUUAUCUUAAUUUUGGUAUUUUUAAGAAUUAUUAUCAGAUGUUAAAAAUCAAUUGAGGAAAAAAAUAUGGCAAUGUGAUAAUUGGUCCAGUUAAAGAAAGUCUUUGAGUUUUGCUACAGCAAAUUGUAUUUGGUGGGAACUUUGAAUGGGUACAAUUUGGUGUUAGAAACUUAGAUGGUUUUCUUUUUUAAAUGAACAGAUCAUUUUUGCUCACAUUGUCAUGGAUUUAUGCUUGCAAAAUACAUUCAUGUCAAGUUAAAUCGUUAUUGUUUGAAGCAAAGAAGCAUCUAGGGGAGUGCACAUGUGGUUAUUGGGGCUGUUCUUGCCAUGUCAGAUAAAUUGUUUCCUAUGUUUGUUGUCGUGCUAUUGUUUGUACUUGUUUGUUAUUCAGGGCUUAAAUCCUAUGCCCCAUAAUGCAUAUGAUUCUUUGUACCGUUUGUGCAAAUGCUUGUUCAGGUAGUAGGGGUUGCAAUUGUGUUGAUGACAUUGUUGCCGCUGCAUUGGUUAAGCAUUGAUUAAGCUAGAUGAUGUAAAAUGAUCAUAAAUGAUCAUUGUCCACUGCAAACAACAAAUAGUUCUUAGUUUUUUAUUGUCAAUUAGGUUUCUUAUUUAACUGAGGUAUUUAGGGGAUAUGGAGCAUGUUUUGGUGUGGGGAAAGAAAUAAUACAUUAAAGAGGAUUGCUUCUUUUCUUCCAACCUUUUUCUUUUUAUCAUUUCAUAGCUUUGAUGAUUUAUAUUUUUUUUUGUAAAUUUCACUGUAUUGUUUUCAUCUUUGCUUCUCUGUAUCUUGCUUUUGAAUUACGAAGAGGCUAUGAUGAUAAAUAAAAGUCAAUGAUGGAUUUGACCAAUCACCAUUUGGGCUUUUAAACACAAGAUUAUUUCUCCAUGGUGUUGGCAAGUCACAGAUUAUUAUGCAUUAGUAUGAAGCAUAAAGGCUUUAUGGUCUCUUUCAAUGCUCAGUUUUCCAAUCUUAAUAGGAUGAUGGCGAGGCAGUUUGGAUGGCCUUCAUGGCAACCACUACAGCCAUGUCUAUCUCUUAGGAUGGGAUUUGGGCAAGAGGAGGGAAGACCUAUGAUCUGUUAUUGUGAUUGACAAAAGAUGAAUCUGAGCCUCAUAUAUCUUAUUUUGUAAAGGAUCUUUUGAUUAUUUUUACUAUUUAAAUGUUUAAAAUCAUUUCAUG
rnacentral:lncRNA from 1 species